rnacentral:rRNA from 1 species
GAGAGGGAGCCUGAGAAACGGCUACCACAUCUAAGGAAGGCAGCAGGCGCGCAAAUUACCCAAUCCUAAUACAGGGAGGUAGUGACAAGAAAUAACAAUACAGGACUUUUUGGUUUUGUAAUUGGAAUGAGUUAAGUAUAAACCCCUUUACAAGUAUCAAUUGGAGGGCAAGUCUGGUGCCAGCAGCCGCGGUAAUUCCAGCUCCAAUAGCGUAUAUUAAAGUUGUUGCAGUUAAAAAGCUCGUAGUUGGAUUUCUGUUAAUAAUUUAUAUAAAAUAUUUUGAUGAAUAUUUAUAUAAUAUUAACAUAAUUCAUAUUACUAUUUUUUUUAGUAUAUGAAAUUUUACUUUGAGAAAAUUAGAGUGCUUAAAGCAGGCAUAUGCCUUGAAUACUCCAGCAUGGAAUAAUAUUAAAGAUUUUUAUCUUUCUUAUUGGUUCUAAGAUAAGAAUAAUGAUUAAUAGGGACAGUUGGGG